GACUGGACACAGUCUGAGCAGUGGCUGCCUUCUUUCUCUUCACUGGCUCCUCUCCCUGCCUGUCUGAUCUUUGCCUCUAGCAGGCGUUGCAGCUUCGUCUCUCUUCCCCUGCCACGGAAGCCCGGGUUACCUCUCCUAGAGCAUCUCAGCAAGAGAUAUCCCCGGGCUACACGUCCUGGAGCCUGGCCUGUGCUGUUAUGAACCUUCCCCACGCAUGGCCUUCCAAAGCGGCAGUGUGCCAGGCAUCAAGAUCAUCCUCAUUCACCUGCUGUUGUGCCUGGUCACUUUCUACACAGUCUACUACAUGAUUGGAAGCAUCUGCUCUGGAGCUUUCAGGCUGGACACAUUUGAUGGACUUAUCCCCUUUGAAUUUAACACAGAACCAUCUCACUCAAAUCCCAAAUAUCUGGUGAAUUUGCUGUCCAUGGAACUGACCUACUUCACCAGCGGCCUUCUCUUUGCUGCUCUGCUGAAGCGAUGGGUCUGGGACUAUGCCAUCACUGUCACACUGGUCCACGUGGCACUGACGUCUGUAGUAGCUUUAGCCCGAGAUCGUCACUGGAUGAGGAGUCAGCAGGUUGGACGGUCCACGGUUCCGCUGACGAGGGGGCGGGUACUGCCUUCAGACGAGAGUGAUGGAUCCAGUUCUUGUGUCCCUCGACCUUUGCUGCUGUAUGGGAGAUCAGCAGGACGGUAUAGGGUCCUUUCCACUUUUCCUGGAGAGGCUCGUCUUUCCAGCGAUGGAACAGUUCCCUUUGGUGUGGCACUGGUGGCUAGCACUUGGCAGUGGCCUCUUUAUCAUGAUUUUCAGUGGACAACUUGUGACCCACUUUGCUUGCCCUGACUCCAGUGAUCCCACUUUGGACAGCUACUGACAUUCUUGAGAGAUUCAAGAUCAAGGGCCUCCCUAAGAACUGGGACGAGAGAAGCAUUAUCUUGUUGUCCAUGUUGGACAGGAAGCCAGGCACUCGAGUUCUAAUUCCUGUUCUCACAAUGACUUCUUCUGUGGCUUUGGACCAGUCGCUCCACCUCUGUGCCUCAGCCUACGCACCAACAGAAGCAGGGACAAUGCUUACUUUCCUCGGGGGAAGGGGGGACCUUAAGAGAACACAUUAAUACUUUAAUAGAUUUCCUAUGGACUACAUCCCCACUGAAAUGACCUUCAACUUACUCUGGGGUUGGUCUUUCUUCCAUUGGGUCAUCCAAAACCCACGCAGCUUUACAUCCUUAAAGAUGAAUGCACUCUGUAGAAACAAGGUGAGACACACCAGGUAUUCUUGGGGAAACUGUUUACAUUGGGCAUUCUUCAGUUAGCAUAUUCUGCUGCACUCAGGCCAUGGGAAGAGACUGUCCUUGUACAGCUGCUACCACACUUUAAACGCUGUUGCAAGUCUGACACUCACGUUCCUGCUGCUAUGAAGAUCUGCAAUUCUGCCUCCCUGCCAAUGACUCUUGCUUUUAGAAGAGCCUUAAUUUGGGGCAAAUUCACUCACACAAUGCAGAUUUUUUUUCUUUUACACCCCUGCAGAAUGUUAGUCCUCUUCACAGUACACUGGAUAGUAAAUAGGAGAUUAAAAACCAAGGGUUGGUUCCCUCAGAAAUGA